rnacentral:rRNA from 1 species
UUAAGUUAGAAAGGGCGCACGGUGGAUGCCUUGACACUAGGAGUCGAUGAAGGACGGGACUAACGCCGAUAUGCUUCGGGGAGCUGUAAGUAAGCUUUGAUCCGAAGAUUUCCGAAUGGGGAAACCCACCAUACGUAAUGGUAUGGUAUCCUUAUCUGAAUACAUAGGGUAAGGAAGACAGACCCAGGGAACUGAAACAUCUAAGUACCUGGAGGAAGAGAAAGCAAAUGCGAUUUCCUGAGUAGCGGCGAGCGAAACGGAACAUAGCCCAAACCAAGAGGCUUGCCUCUUGGGGUUGUAGGACAUUCUAUACGGAGUUACAAAGGAACGAGGUAGACGAAGCGACCUGGAAAGGUCCGUCGUAGAGGGUAACAACCCCGUAGUCGAAACUUCGUUCUCUCUUGAAUGUAUCCUGAGUACGGCGGAACACGUGAAAUUCCGUCGGAAUCUGGGAGGACCAUCUCCCAAGGCUAAAUACUCCCUAGUGAUCGAUAGUGAACCAGUACCGUGAGGGAAAGGUGAAAAGCACCCCGGAAGGGGAGUGAAAGAGAUCCUGAAACCGUGUGCCUACAAAUAGUCAGAGCCCGUUAACGGGUGAUGGCGUGCCUUUUGUAGAAUGAACCGGCGAGUUACGAUCCCGUGCGAGGUUAAGCUGAAGAGGCGGAGCCGCAGCGAAAGCGAGUCUGAAUAGGGCGUUUAGUACGUGGUCGUAGACCCGAAACCAGGUGAUCUACCCAUGUCCAGGGUGAAGUUCAGGUAACACUGAAUGGAGGCCCGAACCCACGCACGUUGAAAAGUGCGGGGAUGAGGUGUGGGUAGCGGAGAAAUUCCAAUCGAACCUGGAGAUAGCUGGUUCUCCCCGAAAUAGCUUUAGGGCUAGCCUUAAGUGUAAGAGUCUUGGAGGUAGAGCACUGAUUGGACUAGGGGUCCUCAUCGGAUUACCGAAUUCAGUCAAACUCCGAAUGCCAAUGACUUAUCCUUAGGAGUCAGACUGCGAGUGAUAAGAUCCGUAGUCAAAAGGGAAACAGCCCAGACCGCCAGCUAAGGUCCCAAAGUGUGUAUUAAGUGGAAAAGGAUGUGGAGUUGCUUAGACAACUAGGAUGUUGGCUUAGAAGCAGCCACCAUUUAAAGAGUGCGUAAUAGCUCACUAGUCGAGUGACUCUGCGCCGAAAAUGUACCGGGGCUAAAUACACCACCGAAGCUGCGGAUUGAUACCAAUGGUAUCAGUGGUAGGGGAGCGUUCUAAGGACAGUGAAGUCAGACCGGAAGGACUGGUGGAGUGCUUAGAAGUGAGAAUGCCGGUAUGAGUAGCGAAAGACGGGUGAGAAUCCCGUCCACCGAAUGCCUAAGGUUUCCUGAGGAAGGCUCGUCCGCUCAGGGUUAGUCAGGACCUAAGCCGAGGCCGACAGGCGUAGGCGAUGGACAACAGGUUGAUAUUCCUGUACCACCUCUUUAUCGUUUGAGCAAUGGAGGGACGCAGAAGGAUAGAAGAAGCGUGCGAUUGGUUGUGCACGUCCAAGCAGUUAGGCUGAUAAGUAGGCAAAUCCGCUUAUCGUGAAGGCUGAGCUGUGAUGGGGAAGCUCCUUAUGGAGCGAAGUCUUUGAUUCCCCGCUGCCAAGAAAAGCUUCUAGCGAGAUAAAAGGUGCCUGUACCGCAAACCGACACAGGUAGGCGAGGAGAGAAUCCUAAGGUGUGCGAGAGAACUCUGGUUAAGGAACUCGGCAAAAUGACCCCGUAACUUCGGGAGAAGGGGUGCUUUCUUAACGGAAAGCCGCAGUGAAUAGGCCCAAGCGACUGUUUAGCAAAAACACAGCUCUCUGCGAAGCCGUAAGGCGAAGUAUAGGGGGUGACACCUGCCCGGUGCUGGAAGGUUAAGGAGAGGGGUUAGCGUAAGCGAAGCUCUGAACUGAAGCCCCAGUAAACGGCGGCCGUAACUAUAACGGUCCUAAGGUAGCGAAAUUCCUUGUCGGGUAAGUUCCGACCCGCACGAAAGGUGUAACGAUUUGGGCACUGUCUCAACCAGAGACUCGGUGAAAUUAUAGUACCUGUGAAGAUGCAGGUUACCCGCGACAGGACGGAAAGACCCCGUGGAGCUUUACUGUAGCCUGAUAUUGAAUUUUGGUACAGUUUGUACAGGAUAGGCGGGAGCCUUUGAAACCGGAGCGCUAGCUUCGGUGGAGGCGCUGGUGGGAUACCGCCCUGACUGUAUUGAAAUUCUAACCUACGGGUCUUAUCGACCCGGGAGACAGUGUCAGGUGGGCAGUUUGACUGGGGCGGUCGCCUCCUAAAGUGUAACGGAGGCGCCCAAAGGUUCCCUCAGAAUGGUUGGAAAUCAUUCGUAGAGUGCAAAGGCAUAAGGGAGCUUGACUGCGAGACCUACAAGUCGAGCAGGGACGAAAGUCGGGCUUAGUGAUCCGGUGKUUCCGCAUGGAAGGGCCAUCGCUCAACGGAUAAAAGCUACCCCGGGGAUAACAGGCUUAUCUCCCCCAAGAGUCCACAUCGACGGGGAGGUUUGGCACCUCGAUGUCGGCUCAUCGCAUCCUGGGGCUGUAGUCGGUCCCAAGGGUUGGGCUGUUCGCCCAUUAAAGCGGUACGCGAGCUGGGUUCAGAACGUCGUGAGACAGUUCGGUCCCUAUCCGUCGUGGGCGUAGGAAAUUUGAGAGGAGCUGUCCUUAGUACGAGAGGACCGGGAUGGACGCACCGCUGGUGUACCAGUUGUUCUGCCAAGGGCAUAGCUGGGUAGCUAUGUGCGGAAGGGAUAAGUGCUGAAAGCAUCUAAGCAUGAAGCCCCCCUCAAGAUGAGAUUUCCCAUAGCGUAAGCUAGUAAGAUCCCUGAAAGAUGAUCAGGUUGAUAGGUUCGAGGUGGAAGCAUGGUGACAUGUGGAGCUGACGAAUACUAAUAGAUCGAGGACUUAACCAU